ensembl:lncRNA
AGUGCGGAUGUUCAUAGUGCCAACAUUUUUUAUGGAAUAUGUUGAGCAAACCUGGAGAAGCUUCAGCUCAAGAUAUUAUUGUUGUCAUUGCUGUGGAUCUUUACCUGAUACACUGACUUGGUGAGUAAAUGUUUACUCUUAUUAGUGUGAAUGCUUGAAAAGCAUUUACAGUAUUGUUGUUGUAAUCUUUAUUUUUCUAUUUUAUUAUUAUAUAUUCCGUACGUUUUUUGUACUUACCACAGCAGAGAGCAAAGCGGAAUGACGACAGUUGGUGCAGUGAUUCGUUAAAGACCGAUGAGGCGUUCAGGAACUUGACUGACAUCUGUGCUUUGCCUGUGUGCAGAAGAACAAGGACCAGAUCUCCAGUCUUCUCUCUCACAUCCCAACCCCCCAUCCCCUCUAUCCUCUGUACUGCUCCACCUGUUGUCUCUGCCUUCCUUCCAUCUGUAUUUCACCCUG